rnacentral:rRNA from 1 species
GACGAACCGUGCGAACGUUGUUCGGAAUCACUGGGCUUAAAGGGCGCGUAGGCGGGCGACCAAGUCCUGGGUGAAAUCCUCCGGCUUAACCGGAGAAGUGCCUGAGAUACUGGUCGUCUGGAGGGAGGUAGGGGCAGCUGGAACUUCCGGUGGAGCGGUGAAAUGCGUUGAUAUCGGAAGGAACGCCGGUGGCGAAAGCGAGCUGCUGGACCUUUUCUGACGCUGAGGCGCGAAAGCCAGGGGAGCAAACGGG